GCAGGGUAGCUAUGCAUGGACGGGAUAACCGCUGAAAGCAUCUAAGCGGGAAGCCCCUUCCAAGAUGAGAUCUCCCUGGACCCUCGAGGUCCCUGAAGAGCCGUUCAAGACCAGGACGUUGAUAGGUCGGGUGUGUAAGCGCUGCGAGGCGUUGAGCUAACCGAUACUAAUUGCUCGUGCGGCUUGACU
rnacentral:rRNA from 1 species